UGCUAUGUAUGUGAUGCGGGUUCAUGUGUUUCCACAUGAACCAUUUGAUGCUAAUGUUUUAUGUGAUGUGUGUUGUUUUUCAGUAAGCAAGAUGAGAGGCACUCGUCGAUCUGCACUAUUGACUGGAGUACCACCAGAGAAUGAGGGCAUGGAUGCCCGUCCUCCUGUAUUGCCAAGGGCAAUGUCAUGUAGAUCUAAUAGAGAGAGAUCAAUAAGGGACCCUAG
rnacentral:lncRNA from 1 species